CUGCGUUGUGGAAUUUUCCACUCAUUUAUUCUUUCCUUUUCCAUCUUCUUUGCCUUCAAGUGUCAAUUGACUCCUCUCAGUCACAGCUGUACAAAUCACAGGAUUUUUUUUUUUAACUGGCGUAAGACUUACACAUUAUUCAUCCAUUCAGUUUCAUCUGAAGGAAAUCCAACAAAGACACAAUUUUCUUUUCCGACGACAUAUUUAAAGCUGCUUUUUCCCCAGGAGACACCGGGCCGAAGACUCCCUGCAUGAUCUAUGUUACUGCAAGAUAUUGAAUAUGGUUCCCUGUGCUGUACAGAAGAAACUUGCUGUUUACCUGUUUUAUAUAUGGCACUUAGUAUCUGCAAAUCUUGAACUCCCAGUUUAUCCCUUCCCACCCCCGCUUCCCCACUGGUAGCCAUACACUCGUUUGUUAUUUUUUAAACUAAAUAAUUCCUAUUCAUAAGAAUUGGCCGCCUUUGCCCUCUGGAAUGCCAUGAAGAGGUUAAGAAGCCUGUGGCUAGUUUAGACUUGAUCUGUCUUAGAGCUCAGGCCUCUCCUUGUGCCUGAAGGGUCCACGCAAGUCAAUCCAACAAAAAUGUAUCCAGCUGAGCGGCUUCCCAGAGCUGCUGCGUCAACAGACUGUACCAGGAGGCUGUGGAAACACCUCCUGGCCCGUGAACGCUUAGUCUCACCCACCAGUUAGUUAUCACGGUUCAUGCUGGACAUCUAAACAGUGCCGCCAGGAAUCGGCUGGACUGCGUGUUCCUAACCUUCCUCUUCACGUGACUGGUUAUAUGUGGUAAGAGUUAUCAGCUGCAAAAACAAAUACGUCCAAUGCUACAAUAACAAGCAGUCUGCUGACCAAAAACCAACUACUCGCUGCUGGUAAGUCGAUUGCCAGACUCAAGAUAACAAACUUGGUUCUGGGGGCAGAGGGGGUCCAUGGGAUGAUUUUUGAGGUCAGGGAUAAUGGAACCCGGGUUUAAGAUGAGAACUCAACCUGGAGGCUGGAUGGAAACACACUGGAGAGGACGGAGGCGGGCUGGAAUCAGGAGACGAAGAGGAAGUUACUGGAAUAGCUGACUCGGCACAAGCCAAGGCAAUGACGACGGGCAAGGAAAUCAAACAGAUGACGGAGUGAAAAUGGACCAAAUGACGCAACAGAUCUGAAGCAGAUUAAUGAGGAAAACGACCACGUAAAGACAGUUAAGAAGACAUUAAAGUUUCUAGCCUGGAUUGAGUUGGAGGUGAUGCCAUUAAUAUAACCAAGGAACCUAAUGGAAAGGUUUGGGGGAUGGACAAGAUAGUGAGUUCAGUUUUAGGUAUGGCAGUUUUAAAGAGCCUGGGGGACCUCUGUGGGGAAUAUUCUAGCAGGCCAUGAAGGUCUGCCAGGGCUAGAAAAGUACUCAACAGUAUAGACUUUGGUUAAACCCUGCUUCUGCCACUUAGGUUGAGUGGUCUUGGAUAAGAUGCUUAUAAACUCCUGAGCCUCUCAUUUCUUUAUCUGAAAAAUGAAGAUAUUAAUUCCCUGAUAGGACGGUCGUGGAUAUUAAAGAUGAAUCAUGUAGGGACAGUGCUUAAUAGUGUCUGAAACAUAGUAGGAACUCAAAAAAAAAGUGUCUACCCUGGAACCCCUGCAGUAAUCUCUUCCUAUUCUCUCUGUUUCAUCCUUUCCCUCCCUCAGUUCACCUCUGCAUCAAUCAGAGAGAUCUUAUUGUCACAAAGAUGAGAAUCCCAUCCCCCUUCUGCCUAAAAACCUCUAAGGACUCAGCAUCCCUCUCCUUGAACAUGACACUCUUGUUCUAGCCUCAGGGCCUUUGCACUUGCUGUUCCCUCUGCCCGGAAUGCUCUUCCCCAGAUUUCUCAAAGUUGGCUCUUUUGCAUCCUUCCACUAUUAGCCCACACAAUACCAUCUCAGGGAAGCCUUCUCAUGACCCCUUCUUCAUCCACCCCAAGCACUCUCCAUAUUGUUACUUUGUUGUUGUUGUUUUGGUCUUUGGACAAUUGGCAUUUGAAAUGAAAACUUCAUGUAUAUGUUUACA